rnacentral:rRNA from 1 species
ACAGAGAGCUUGCUCUCGGGUGACGAGCGGCGGACGGGUGAGUAAUGUCUGGGAAACUGCCUGAUGGAGGGGGAUAACUACUGGAAACGGUAGCUAAUACCGCAUAACGUCGCAAGACCAAAGUGGGGGACCUUCGGGCCUCAUGCCAUCAGAUGUGCCCAGAUGGGAUUAGCUAGUAGGUGGGGUAAUGGCUCACCUAGGCGACGAUCCCUAGCUGGUCUGAGAGGAUGACCAGCCACACUGGAACUGAGACACGGUCCAGACUCCUACGGGAGGCAGCAGUGGGGAAUAUUGCACAAUGGGCGCAAGCCUGAUGCAGCCAUGCCGCGUGUAUGAAGAAGGCCUUCGGGUUGUAAAGUACUUUCAGCGAGGAGGAAGGCAUUAAGGUUAAUAACCUUGGUGAUUGACGUUACUCGCAGAAGAAGCACCGGCUAACUCCGUGCCAGCAGCCGCGGUAAUACGGAGGGUGCAAGCGUUAAUCGGAAUUACUGGGCGUAAAGCGCACGCAGGCGGUCUGUCAAGUCGGAUGUGAAAUCCCCGGGCUCAACCUGGGAACUGCAUUCGAAACUGGCAGGCUAGAGUCUUGUAGAGGGGGGUAGAAUUCCAGGUGUAGCGGUGAAAUGCGUAGAGAUCUGGAGGAAUACCGGUGGCGAAGGCGGCCCCCUGGACAAAGACUGACGCUCAGGUGCGAAAGCGUGGGGAGCAAACAGGAUUAGAUACCCUGGUAGUCCACGCCGUAAACGAUGUCGACUUGGAGGUUGUGCCCUUGAGGCGUGGCUUCCGGAGCUAACGCGUUAAGUCGACCGCCUGGGGAGUACGGCCGCAAGGUUAAAACUCAAAUGAAUUGACGGGGGCCCGCACAAGCGGUGGAGCAUGUGGUUUAAUUCGAUGCAACGCGAAGAACCUUACCUACUCUUGACAUCCAGAGAACUUAGCAGAGAUGCUUUGGUGCCUUCGGGAACUCUGAGACAGGUGCUGCAUGGCUGUCGUCAGCUCGUGUUGUGAAAUGUUGGGUUAAGUCCCGCAACGAGCGCAACCCUUAUCCUUUGUUGCCAGCGGUUAGGCCGGGAACUCAAAGGAGACUGCCAGUGAUAAACUGGAGGAAGGUGGGGAUGACGUCAAGUCAUCAUGGCCCUUACGAGUAGGGCUACACACGUGCUACAAUGGCAUAUACAAAGAGAAGCGACCUCGCGAGAGCAAGCGGACCUCAUAAAGUAUGUCGUAGUCCGGAUUGGAGUCUGCAACUCGACUCCAUGAAGUCGGAAUCGCUAGUAAUCGUAGAUCAGAAUGCUACGGUGAAUACGUUCCCGGGCCUUGUACACACCGCCCGUCACACCAUGGGAGUGGGUUGCAAAAGAAGUAGGUAGCUUAACCUUCGGGAGGGC